rnacentral:rRNA from 1 species
UACUGAGUUUACGCUCUAUAACCCUUUGUGAACAUACCUAUAACUGUUGCUUCGGCGGGUAGGGUCUCCGCGACCCUCCCGGCCUCCCGCCUCCGGGCGGGUCGGCGCCCGCCGGAGGAUAACCAAACUCUGAUUUAACGACGUUUCUUCUGAGUGGUACAAGCAAAUAAUCAAAACUUUUAACAACGGAUCUCUUGGUUCUGGCAUCGAUGAAGAACGCAGCGAAAUGCGAUAAGUAAUGUGAAUUGCAGAAUUCAGUGAAUCAUCGAAUCUUUGAACGCACAUUGCGCCCGCCAGCAUUCUGGCGGGCAUGCCUGUUCGAGCGUCAUUUCAACCCUCAAGCUCUGCUUGGUGUUGGGGCCCUACAGCUGAUGUAGGCCCUCAAAGGUAGUGGCGGACCCUCCCGGAGCCUCCUUUGCGUAGUAACUUUACGUCUCGCACUGGGAUCCGGAGGGACUCUUGCCGUAAAACCCCCCAAUUUCCAAAGGUUGACCUCGGAUCAGGUAGGAAUACCCGCUGAACUUAAGCAUAUCAAU